GGGCCCGCACAAGCGGUGGAGCAUGUGGUUUAAUUCGAUGAUACGCGAGGAACCUUACCAGGGCUUAAAUGCAGAACGACAGAGGUGGAAACACCUCCUUCUUCGGACGGUCUGCAAGGUGCUGCAUGGUUGUCGUCAGCUCGUGCUGUGAAGUGUCGGGUUAAGUCCCAUAACGAGCGCAACCCCUAUUUCUAGUUGCCAGCGGUUCGGCCGGGGACUCUAGAGAAACUGCCAGCGUAAGCUGUGAGGAAGGUGGGGAUGACGUCAAAUCAUCACGGCCCUUACAUCCUGGGCCACACACGUGCUACAAUGGUAGGGACAACAGGUUGCCAACCCGCGAGGGUGAGCC
rnacentral:rRNA from 1 species